UUUCUCAGCUAUUCCUAUUGUAAUUUAUGCUCUGUAGCCUUACUCACUAUCAACAAGCAUGAGGUUUAAGAGGAUUUGUCUAGCAAACCUUAAAUGGCGUCUUAUUCACUAUCAUUGGCUUAAAGAACGUUAUGAAUAUCACGUGUUCUGGAGCUUUAAAAUGUGAGUUUUAAAGCAUUAUAUUGCAUAAUAUACUUUAUAUGAAUAUUUCUAUACCUAUGGCUUUAGUCAUCUUUAGACAGGUGAAUAAGCAUCCCAUAAACACACAAAACACUUUAUAAAAAAGUUAAUAAAUUAGAUGUGGGUGUAAGGGAUUCUAACAAAAACUCAAGCACGUUGGUCUAAAAAGUAAAAAAAAUUAAUAAUUUUUUUUCUAGUUUUUAUAAAAGUACAUCAUAAAAGGAGACAUAUUGUAACAUGAUGCGUGUUAAUAACAUAGUAGAGACAUAUAAUAUAUUAAAUUGGAAAGAGUAAAUUAUGAUUUUGGCCCCUUUGAUUAGGUAGAGGUUCCUGUAAAAAAAUGGUUUUUUGUGAGAAAGGUAAGAAAGAAUCUACACAAUUAGAUCUUUGAUCUAAUGGUUGAGAUCAUAAUGGCAAAAUUGUAAAUAAUGUUUACUAUUAAACAUAUUAAUUUUCUAGAUUAAGGGGUUGUUUGGUAGCCUCUGAAUGGUCAUUAAGAGGCUACCUCUUAAUGGAACCAUUAAGAAUUUUACCAAUGAGAAGUUAGAAGAAUGUGAGAUGUGAUGAUUUACCAUUCAGAUGUUACCUCUUAAUCAUUCAGUCUUCAGGUUACCUCUUAUUCAUUCAGAGGUUUUAAACCAUUAAGAGGUAGCAUCUAAAUGGUCAUUAAGAAGCUACCAAACAGCCCCUAAGGGUAUAUAGGUAAAUUUAACAUUUUUAAAUUAAGAAACUAAAAUUAAUGCACAUGUAACUUCCCCCGUCUUUUUUAAACAUCAAUAACUUUUUAUACGUAACUUUAAAAAAAAUACACCAUAAUAACGAGCGUUUUUUUAUCUUUAAUAUGAGUACCAUAUUGCUAUACUUAUAUAGAGAAAAAAAUAUGUUUGCUGAAUGGUGUUAUAUACUUACUGAAUGGUGUUAUAUACUUGCUGAAUGGUGUUUAUAGAGAUCUUUUAAAAAAAAUCCAGUUUCUACAAUUAAUGUGGCGGUUAUGGAAAGUUUUUAAUUAAUUGAAUUAAUGAUAAAAUUACUUAUUUACCCUUUUGAAUUAAUUUAGAUUUAGGACACAUGUUAUCUCCACAAUAUUUCUCACCUUUCUCACACUUUUAACCUUUUUUACAAUAACCUUACCCCAUAAGAUUAUAUUACUUUUACUAUAUUAGCCUAGAAAGAAAUUUUUUAUCAUCUGUACCCACAUCUCUUUAUCUAACUAUUUUGGCCUCUGCGAUUAAUUUCAUCCAUAAUCCUGGUUAAUAAAUGGUCACAUGCUCUUUACAUGAUGGACAAUUAAGUAAUUUCAUCUACCUAAACCAAUUAAGUAUUUUGUAUUAAAUUAGGAAAUGAUUGCACGACACUACUACAAAAAGAGGCAUUUUCUAUGAAAUUUUGCUACGAGUUAGCUACGGAUUAGCUACGAACACAUUUUGCUACGAAUUAGAUACGGAUUAGCUACGAACUUCCGUCGCAAAUGAAUUUCUAAGCAAAACUCAUAGCAAAUCCGUAGCAAAAUCGGUGAAGUUAAUAUAAAACAUAUAAUGUAGCAAAACCGAUAGCAAAAUCCAUAGCAAAACCAUGAAAAUAAGUAUUUAGAAAUAAACUAAAAAAAUUAAAAUAAAAUCUGUAGCAAAAUUGUGAAAAUAAAUAUAAUAAAAAAAACUUACUAAAAUUGGUAGCAAAGUCCUUAGCUAAAUUAUGAAAAUAAAUAGUUAAAAACUAACUAACUGAGGUUUAAAAAAACGAUAGCAAAAUCGGUAAGUAAAUAGAGUCCGUAGAGAAAUUGGUUGCAAAAUCUAGAAAAAUUCUUAAAACUAACGUAGCAAAAUCUGUAGUAAAUCCAUAGAAAAAUUCAUUGCAAAAUAAGAAAAAGAAAAUAUUCAAAAAAUAAUUUUCUAAUAUCCAUCGAAACAUCCAUAGCAAAAUACGCUGCAAAAACAAAAAAAAAAGUUAAAAUUAAUUAAUAACAGUGGUAGCAAAAUCCAUAGCAAAACUAACAAAAUAAAUAUUCAAAAAACAAUAAAAAAGAUGCAUUAGAAAAUCCAUAAGCAAAAAUGGACAAAAGAAAUAUUAAAAAAUAAUUAAUAAU
rnacentral:lncRNA from 1 species